CGGAGCGUAGCGCAGCUUGGUAGCGCAUCUGCUUUGGGAGCAGAGGGUCGUAGGUUCAAAUCCUAUCGCUCCGACCA
rnacentral:tRNA from 4 species